CGUGAGAUGUUGGGUUAAGUCCCGCAACGAGCGCAACCCCUAUUGAUAGUUGCCAUCAUUAAGUUGGGAACUCUAUCAAGACCGCCGGUGAUAAAUCGGAGGAAGGUGGGGACGACGUCAAGUCAUCAUGGCCUUUAUGUCCAGGGCUACACACGUGCUACAAUGGCCGGUACAAAACGUCGCGAUCCCGUAAGGGGGAGCUAAUCGCAAAAACCGGUCUCAGUUCGGAUUGAAGUCUGCAACUCGACUUCA
rnacentral:rRNA from 1 species